AGGCACCCACGUGCUGCAGCUCAGGGCUGAGUGCCGGCCCCUCCCACUGGGACUGGUGGCAGCACUUCUGAGCCU
rnacentral:miRNA from 1 species